CCUAAUUUUUUUACCGACGAUAUCUAUCACACCGGCCAGAAUCAAGUACAGCCAGUAAGUCCAUUCGUUAUGACUUCUAUUACCAACAGAGUCGUCGCUUCCUGCUUAAACCCUUUAAAUUCAGAAUCGAUAAAUCGCCGGUGUGCCAUUGCGGAUAUGCUUCGUAGUACCUUCUACAAGCGCGCACGUGAGGACCUAGCUUUAUGUCACCGCUUGUUGCACAUUCCAUAUAACGAACCAGAGCCUGACUCAAAGGUGAUUUCUGAAAUCAUUAGUAUAGUUUCAAAGAAAGAAGCAUCGGUUACUGUUUCUGCCUCCGGGUUAAGCCUUCUUUGCUCGUAUGAUCAUCUUUUGAUGAGGUUGUGUGUUUUUGAGCUGAGAGGCGUAAUGUUCAGUAAUGUCAAAUCCCAAAUUAACCGAGCUUUCAGUUGAUUCCAAUGGCUGGAUUUUGCUACAUUCAAGUGUUAGUUCCUGUGAUGUUCCUAAGUACUGAAACUGGACACUACUUGUAUGUUUGUGAAGCCACAAGCUGAGCAUAUGAUCCGGAACGAGGUCUCCAAGUUCAGGGACCAACUUUCUUUCGCAAAGCUGGCUUGUAACAGCGGUCAAAACAGGAGAUUACAUUACUUGCUUCUCUGCCGUCAAUCACUAACCAGAGACGAUGCUAAUCAUUGACUUUGAUUGGAGGACAAGUAUUCAUGCGAAGGACUGGUCGAAUGUGGCCAAGAAGAGCCAAGUCGAAGUAAGUUUUCCGCUUGUUCUUUAGUUUUAAAGGUCUUAAUUUAGUCAAAGUAAACUCAUAGACGAGAUAGAUGGACAAUUCUAUGACAGAGGAGAAUUGAGGAUUGUAUGAGGAAUUGAUAGCUAAAAUUAGACAUAUUGGUGGAAAGUGGUAAGUUAUAUCUGAACUGAGAAAUUCUGUAUUCUUUUAAUUUCUAUGAUAUGUUUAGUGCAUUGUAUUGGUUCAAACCAGGCAAUGAGUUUGAGUCUGCACAUUGCUUAGUGAUUCUAAAGACCUCUUAGACCAUCUUAAUCUGGGUCUCUUGGGCGUUUCUUAGACUAGGAUAAUAAUAAUAAUAAUAAUAAUAAUAAUAAUAAUAAUAAUAAUAAUAUAUAUAUAUAUAUAUAUUUGAUUCAAGCCCAAAAGUUUUAGAAACGUUUCUUAUUUGGGGAACAAUAAAAAACGGUCUCUUUUACCACAUGUAGUUUGAAAAGUGGCUAUUUUGACUGAUUUUAACCUGUGUUUACUAAUCUUUUUAGGAGUUUUUAGAGUCUUUUUCAGGUUGUUUCAUGUGACUAUGAGGCUUUAGCUGAGGAUUGGAUGGUCUAAAAGACUUUGGAGCAAAAAGAGAUGAAGCUGAGCAAAAAGGAGCAAAUUUCAUACGUAAUUAAAGAAGUCUUCCGCGGAGCACCUGCUCUCGAUUUCGACCUUCUGUGUGGAGCACCUGCUCCAACUGGGAGAAAAAUAAGGAAAAUGAUUUUAACCUAAUUCUGGGACCAGAAAGAGAAUAAAAAGUCCAGAGCCGCCUCAGAAACAGACCCACGUUUUAUAGAACUUUUUUUAUGCUUUCUUUUUACAAUAUUUCUGAACCAGAGAGUUUUUACUUGUAAGUUUUUGGGAGAAGAAAUCUGCUAUAGUUUGAGAAGAAUUCUGAACCCUAUUAUCUCUUCUGCAAUUU